UACGAAGGGGGCUAGCGUUGCUCGGAUUGACUGGGCGUAAAGGGCGCGUAGGCGGUUCGUACAGUCAGACGUGAAAUUCCUGGGCUCAACCUGGGGGCUGCGUUUGAUACGUGCGGGCUUGAGUGCGGAAGAGGGUCGUGGAAUUCCCAGUGUAGAGGUGAAAUUCGUAGAUAUUGGGAAGAACACCGGUGGCGAAGGCGGGUCGACUGGCCGAUACUGACGCUGAGGCGCGAAAGCGUGGGGAGCAACAGG
rnacentral:rRNA from 1 species